CAAGAGCCUACUUGCCACUAUAAAUAAAUGGCAUGAGAGGUGUUAAACUGCUCGUAAAUAAAAUUCUUUUUCUCUUUAGUCUUGCUGAAAUUAUGUUCAAGCUAGCCUAAUAAGCUCAUGUACCUU